GUCUUCUGUGUCGCAGUCCCUUCCUCUCUCUCUCCGACCACUUACUCUAUCGCCGUGUUUGCUCACUGUUCCGAUUCUGCGUUAGCCUUUCACAUAACGUACGUAACUCGCCCUAAUUCUUUAUCACUUGCUACAAUUCCUGAUGCAUCAAAUUGAAUUUUGUUCCUUACUAAGGAAAAAUGACUUUAUUCUUAUAGAUCACUCUUGUCCUCUGCUAGGGUUCACAAUUGUUUGGUAUCUUUCUUUGCAAGGGCCUCUCUCUUCCUCAUUGCUUUUCACAUUCUCUG
rnacentral:misc_RNA from 1 species